AUCUCAGCUUCUAGCUGGGUCAUACCAUUCUGUACCCGUGAUAUAUCAUGUUAUAUAAAAGUCUUCGAAGCAGUCCUUCUAAAAAUGCCGGAUGCCAACGCCAUUCUCCGGUGGAAGAUCGACGACGUCUGACAGGUGCGCACCGCCCGGAGCCUUACAACCUCCGGGAAACAGGACACGGACAUCCUCCAUCGGUGAACUGCAAAUGGCAAUUGAACCUGAGAAUGAAUCAACCAGCAACCAGGAUUGAACAAGACUCUCAAGGUGCGGGUCGGAGACUUGGUGUUCCUGAAAGUGUUGCAGCGUGCCAGGUGGGACAGUGAACGCUGGGACUGUCCUUACGAGAUGGUUGGAGUCAGCCCCACUGCAGUGAAAGUCUACGGACGCACUGGGUGAAUUCAUCAAUCCCAGUGCAAGCUCUUCCGGUUGCCAGAAGGACCUAACGACGCCAGUCCACCAGGCCCUGAUUCCUAAUGUCCCGACUGUUAUGUACUGAUGUGCUUGCCGUACUGAUGAUAUCAGAGAUGCAUGUAAGGUAGAGCAAGCGGGAGAGUAGAGAGAAAAAAAAAAAAACGCGGGAAUGUGGCCGUGUGUUGAC